rnacentral:rRNA from 1 species
AUUGAACGCUGGCGACAGGCCUAACACAUGCAAGUCGAGCGGAGCGGCGGACGGGUGAGUAAUGCCUAGGAAUCUGCCUGGUAGUGGGGGAUAACGUCCGGAAACGGGCGCUAAUCCCGCAUCCUAUCAGAUGAGCCUAGGUCGGAUUAGCGAGUUGGUGGGGUAAAGGCGUACACAGGCGACGAUACGUAACUGGUCUGAGAGGAUGAUCAGUCACACUGGAACUGAGACGCGGUCCAGACUCCGACGGGAGGCAGCAGUGGGGAAUAUUGGAAAAUGGGCGAAAGCCUGAUCCAGCCAUGCCGCGUGUGUGAAGAAGGUCUUCGGAUGGUAAAGCACUUUAAGUUGGGAGGCGUUACCAACAGAAUAAGCACCGGCUAACUUCGUGCCAGCCGCCGCGGUAAUUC